GGCUCAAGUUCUGUUCUUCAUUCCUCAGCUGUGGCCCUUACCCUCAUGAUCAAAGAUGGUGACUAGGGUGGCAGCCAUCACAUCUGUGUUCCAGGAAGUAGGAUGGAGGAAGAGAUAAAGAAGAGACAAAGGGCAUGUACCAUCUAUCUUUGGAGGAAAACAGGAGCUUCCAUGCAACACUUCUGCUUGUAUCUCAUUGUCAAGAACUUAGUCAUAUGGUCACACUUAGCUGCAAGGAAGGAUGGGAAAUUCCAAGCAGAUUUGUGCACAGCUGAAAUUUAGGAAUCCUUUUGCUAUGGAAGAGGAGUAAGGUAGAUUUGGGAGACAAUUUGAGACUCUGUUACAAAAGUUACUUAUUAUAAAGAUGAAAGCACUCCAUCAAUAAAUGUUGGCUAUUUUUUAAUAUUCUUCCUUUAUGGAUUACUAAGGAGUAACUUAGGAAAGCAGGGAUAAGAGUGGUCUUAUCAGACAGGCGUGGAGGCAAAUGUCUGUCUUCCCAGCUACUUGGGAAGCUAAGGCAGAAGUUGUUCUUCAAAUGAAGAUUAGAUGUGACUUUCAUUUUAUUCUUUGUCUUUAUUAAAAUGGUGACUCACCUAGACAUUAUACCUCUUGAGAUACUGACUUAAUUUUUCAAAGUUGUUUUAUCUCCUUCACAGAUUUAAAUAAGUGAUAAUUUAAUGGGACUUUGCUUUGAGGAUAUUACAUUGACUCACUGUGAGUUAGUUACUGACACAGUAAAGCAGACUCUCAGAAAAUAUCCUAAUUAGAUAUUGUCUCUGGAAGCAAUGUUUCUCAAAAGAUCUAUGCACCUCCUUACACCCCAUUCAGCAUUAUGAGGGUUUCCUUUUCUGUAACAACUUCCAUUGCCAAGGGCUGUAUCAGCAUCAUCUCUUACAUUAUUCUGACUUCCCCUCUGCUCACAUUCUGUCUGCAGUAAGGACAAGUGCCUGAAGAAUCUUGUUUCUUCUCUGUCUUAAUAAUUCUACAUCACCCGCUAUCUGAGAUGCAGCACAUGAUCUCUUUCAUUCUAGGGGGCAUUAUUUAUCCCACUGCUCCUAAUGUACAUAUAGUGAAUAACCAAGACACUGGAAGAACUGAAUAAUUAACUGGGGACAACUAGGACAGACAGCCCAGAAUCAAAGGGAUGUGAUAUUCACAUUCUGGUAUAAUGGUCUUCAAAAGGAUAGUUUAGCACAAUCUUACCUUACCUUUUUUUUUCCAUUGAAACAUUAAUUUGUAUUCCAGUAUGUAAAACUGAUAACAGCAGAACUAGUCUUGAAGGUGGGAAGAGUCUAAGCCCGAUCCACUCAGCUUGCCUCUUGUCAAAACCCUUUGCCAUCAUGUGAGUUCUUCAAGGUAUCUUCAUGAAACCUGAAGGCUCACUCCACUAUUCUCAGUUUGAAUAUCCCUAUUCUGGUCCAUUCUCUUGCUUUGAGAGAUGAUCAAAUGAAAAGGAAAGAUAAAAGCUUUAGAAUAAAAUAGACCUGAUGUCAAAUGUUGAGCUCUACCUUUUACCAGAUAUAUGACCCUUGGGCCUCAAUUGAUGACAGCUGCUUUCCUAUGUUGUCAUGAAAAUUCAAGUGGGUUUAUGAAUAUAAAAUUGUUGGUACAGAGCAGGUUCUCUGUUACCUCUUUUCCUUCCCCUUAAGGUAAGAUGACAUCUAAUACAUUUUCAACAGAUGUUUAACAUCUUUUCCCACCACACUGACCACUAUGUACCUUUACUCAUGUAUCUAAAAAUACACAUAAUUUCUGGGUAAUUUUAGGAAUUGGCAGCUAAUGCUUAUUGUAGUUUGUAUAAACAGGCAUUAGUUGAGUUAAUGAAAGUAUUAUCUAUGAGGGUUAUGAUAUAGUAUAAAUGAACAGGCUCCUUAUGUUUGAAAAUUUUUAAAAACUUGGGGACUGGGGAUGUAUUUCAGCAGUACAGCACUUGCCUACCAUGUGCAAAUCUGUGGAUUCGAUCCCUAGUGUCACAAAAAAAAAAAAAGAAAAACUAUCCAUCACAAUAAAGAUUAGAAGUGUUGGCUGGACACAUCAAUGUUUAUAGCAGCACAAUUCACAAUAGCUAGACUGUGGAACCAACCUAGAUGCCCUUCAAUAGAUGAAUGGAUAAAAAAAAUGUGGCAUUUAUACACAAUGGAAUAUUACUCAGCACUAAAAAAAAAAACAAGAUCAUGGCAUUUGCAGGGAAAUGGAUGGCAUUAGAGCAGAUUAUGCUGAGUGAAGUUAGCCAAUCCCUAAAAAACAAAUGCCGAAUGUCUUCUCUAAUAAAAGGGGGGUGACUCAAAAUGGGAUAGGGAGGAAGAGCAUGAGAAGAUUACCACUAAACAGGGAAGAGAGGUGGGAGGGAAAAGGAG
rnacentral:lncRNA from 1 species